CAGCCGCCGCGGGAACACAGAGGGUGCGAGCGUUAAUCGGAUUUACUGGGCGUAAAGCGUGCGUAGGCGGCUUUUUAAGUCGGAUGUGAAAUCCCUGAGCUUAACUUAGGAAUUGCAUUCGAUACUGGGAAGCUAGAGUAUGGGAGAGGAUGGUAGAAUUCCAGGUGUAGCGGUGAAAUGCGUAGAGAUCUGGAGGAAUACCGAUGGCGAAGGCAGCCAUCUGGCCUAAUACUGACGCUGAGGUACGAAAGCAUGGGGAGCAAACAGGAUUAGAUACCCCUGUAGUCCCUGUCUCUUAUAA
rnacentral:rRNA from 1 species